rnacentral:ribozyme from 1 species
UGGAGAUAAUGGAAGACCAUAGCAGAAGGGCUCAUGGCACAGCCAUGUCAGAUUCCAAUGAAUCUGCAAAUUCUGCU